rnacentral:rRNA from 1 species
GACGAACGCUGGCGGCGUGCUUAACACAUGCAAGUCGAACGGAAAGGCCCUGCUUUUGUGGGGUGCUCGAGUGGCGAACGGGUGAGUAACACGUGAGUUACCUGCCCUUGACUUUGGGAUAACUUCAGGAAACUUGGGCUAAUACCGGAUAGGAGCUCCUGCUGCAUGGUGGGGGUUGGAAAGUUUCGGCGGUUGGGGAUGGACUCGCGGCUUAUCAGCUUGUUGGUUGGGUAGUGGCUUACCAAGGCUUUGCCGGGUAGCCGGCCUGGGAGGGUGACCGGCCACAUUGGGACUGGGCUACGGCCCAGACUCCUACGGGAGGCAGCAGUGGAGAAUAUUGCACAAUGGGCGGAAGGCUAAUGCAGCAACGCCGCGUGCGGGAUAUCGGCCUGCGGGUUGUAAACCGCUUUCGCCUGUGACGAAGCGUGAGUGACGGUAAUGGGUAAAGAAGCACCGGCUAACUACGUG